ACUUGUACGCCCCCCUGUGCA
rnacentral:misc_RNA from 1 species